rnacentral:lncRNA from 1 species
GAAGGACAUCCACAGAGCUGGUCAGUCAAGAAUGAAACCUAUGCACCAAACUGAGAAAAGCUGUUGAUAGAGGAAUUUUAAAGAAGGAAUAGGGAGAGGACUACUUCUCUGUUUUUAGCUGGAAGUUCUAUCAUGUACAAAUGCUUUUGAUCACUACUUACAGCAUGUCCAGCAAUGAUGGCUUGAAAAUGGGAGAUUAUUGUAUGACAAGAAGUCCUAUGCAGGAGGAUUUUCUGGUUAUAACAACUGCUCUAUCAUGCAUCAAGGACAUAGGUUAUAUAUGUCUUUUCUGUCCUUCAUUCUCAGUGAUUUCACUACCCUAGAACCAAAAUGAACCAUGUUACACAAAUGAAGUUGGGAAAUUUCUUCGCUCCGUAUACGCACAUAUGUAGACAGCUCCAUAUCCCACAACCUCGUGAUAAUGAAAUCCCUCGCCUCUAGGAAACAUCACAGAAUAUCAGCUUGGGAACACUGUGUGUUUUGCAUGUCAAUCUUGUAAGCAUGAAGACCUACUUAUAGUAAGGUCAUAUGUGUUCUAUAAUGUAUUUGAAAGAUUUCUAACUUAUCACCUAUUUAUUCUUCUAUUGGGAUAUAAUUUACACACUAUAAAUUUUACCCUAUAAAGUAUACAUUUCAGUGGAUUUUAAUAUAUUCUGGCUUGCGUGACCAUUAUUGCUAUCUAAUUCUGUUAAGUUUUUCAUCACUCCCAGAAGAAAUCCCAUACCCAUUAGCUAUUAAUCCCCAUUCUCCUCUCCCCCUCAGGUUCUAAAACCACUAAUUUACUUUCUGUUCCUAUGGAUUUGCCUAUCCUGGAUAUUUCGUAUAAAUGGAAUUAUACAACUUGUGGCCUUUUGUGUCUGUCUUCUAUCACUUAGCGUGAUUUCAAGGUUAUCCACAUUGCAGCAUGUAUCACUACCUCGUUCCUUUUUAUGGCUGAAUAGUACUCCAUCAUAUGGCUAUGCCACAUUUUGUUUAUCCAUUCAUCCAUUGAUAAAUAUUUAUAUUGUUUCCACUAUUUGGCUAUUAUGAAUAAUGCUACUAUGCAAAUUUGUGUGUAAGUUUUCGUGAGGACGUAUGUUUUCAUUCUUCUUGGAUAUAUACCUUGUAGCAGAAUUAGUCAACCUUUUGAGGAACUACCAGACUGUUUUCAAAGUGACGGCUAUAUUUUAUAUUUUCACCAGCAAUGUAUGAGGAUUCUAAUUUCUCCACAUCCUUAUCAAAACUUACUGUUGUCUGACUUUUGAUUUUAGCCAUCCUAGUAGAUAUUAACUGGUAUUUUACUGAGGUUUUGAUUUGCAUUUCUCUAAUGACUAAAAAUUUUGAGUAUUUGCAAAUUGUAUAUUAACAAGGUCUACUACCCAAAUAUAUAUAGAAUGAUUAAAAAUUGACAAAUAUUUGAAUAGACAUUUCUCUAAAAUUUGAAUGUCUUUUUUGGAGAAAUGUCUAUUCAAAUGUUU